CUCGAUUAAAUUAUAAUAAAAAAGUUCCUUAAAUUUUUCUCUCCUAUAAACUGGAUUCUUGUCUUCACAUAAAAUUCUCGACAAUAUAUCAAUAAUUCAUCAUCCGACAUGGAAUCCAAAAUAAAAUUACAGUGAAUCUUUCUAUGUCCAGGACGUGUCAAAUCCAAGUGGAGUGGAUUUGGAGGUGGCAGUGGUGGAGGGAAGAGGCUUAGAACAAAGUUCACUGAAGCAAAACGCAGGAGCAAAGUUCACUUACUGAGACUGUCUCGAUUCUGCAACUAAAUUGGGACGGGAAUUGUUAUUGCCGUUGCCAUCUAUCCUGGAAUCCUAAAACGCAGGAGCAUGAAGAUGGCUGGCUAAACCUGAAAAAGGUAUAGAGAAAAAGGGAACAACACAUGCUUGUAAGAAAUUCAUUGCUCGCAGUUUAGUUUGGUUUUCUUUCCCUCUUUCUUGUGGAAGAGAGUCUCUGCAAUCCAUUUUGCCCUUCUCUGGUUCAUUCUGAGUGCAUAUAGCAAGACAAGAUAGUUCUUUCAUUAAAUGGUCCUGCGGCUGUAAGUGGCAUAGGUUGAUGCAUUUUGAGUAUCACUUCUGUUUUGCCACUCUUCUUUGGGACCACAGGCAUGGAUGGGCCUGUCAAUCAGGCACUCUCCACCACCUUCCCUUUCUAGUUUCACACAGUAAUUCCUAAACCCUUCAACUGUUACUUGAAGCCUAAAAUCCAAAUUAAACAGGAAUUUCAUCUCCAUUCUAUUCAUUUCUGCUGUGCUUACUCCUCCUAUUUUUGCAUAGUAUGCAUUGUUAUAACACCUGCAAUGGAAGAUGAGAAAGAAAACCGGGAGAUGAGUAAGUUAUGGCAAACUUUAGCUCAUUAUUUCCUUACAAAUUAGAAGUUUGAUAAGUUUUUUUGCAGCUAAUAUUGUGCUUAAUCAUUUCUGAUUUAAUUAUGUUAUUAAUCAAACAAUAUAUUCAUGUUUUGUUUCUGAUCUAAUAUGGGAUUUUGGUUUCAACAUCCUAUAAAGAAAUUUAGUCUGCUCUGUGAUUUAUCAUUGAAUAAGAAGUUGAAAGAAUGACCCACGAAACCUGAGAAUUGGGCUUACUCAUCAUCCAUGGAAUUAGGCACAUCAAAGAAAGAUCAAAGAUAGAACCUGAUUCAUUAUUCCCCGUGAAAGUUCAUCUAUAAAGGUAAGCAUAGUCCAAAACAGAGAAUACAAGCAACUUCAUACUCAAGAAACAACAAAUUUCUUGACCGAAUUGAUGAAAAAUCCAAACUUUAGCAAGAAAUUUCAAAAGUAGUCUAGAUUUAAACAUAUUUUCUGGGUUUAAUGAUGCAUGUACUUACUCAUCAUCCAAAAAUUUUGCAGCUACCAUGAUAUUUGUGAUCAGAAGACGGUGCACGUUGAAGGAAGUAAGAUAUGCAUCCAUCUUAUGCAGAAAUCUCUCCAUGUAUAUGUAUGCAACAACAAAGCAAGAAUUGCUGCACUUGGAGUACUUAAAGAUGCGUUCAAUGUACAGUCUAAUACUCAAAGAAGGUGGUCUUGAUCCAUGGAAGACUGUAACAACAUCUUUCCUUCUUGAUCCAUCUAACAAUCUUUCAUUCUUUUGAAUACACCUCUCAAGAGCAGAUGCAAGAAGCACUAACACCCGAGGUCUUUCUGAAUCUCUUCCAGCCGAAUCAUAUAAUCCUAAAGUUGAAUAUGUUUCUGAUUCAGCCAUAACUAUGGAACAAUAUGAAUUUUCAUUCUGCCAAGCUAUAUAUAUAUAUAUAUAGGCCAUAUCUACAAAUAUCAGUGAGAAAUAAAAAGUUGCUUUCUGAAAUUUAUUCUUUUCUUUCAGGUAAAGUUAUGUUGGAACAUAGUUAUGUGACCUUAGAAAUUAAAUAACUCUAUCCCUUGUGGGCCAAUUGGGAGAAUCAAUCAAUCCUUUCCAUUGCACUAUAAAAAGUUCUUUGUAGACUAUGAGCACCAAGGAAUACUCAAA
rnacentral:misc_RNA from 1 species